UCUGGAGGCGACUAGCCACUGUGGAAGAGAGGAAGAAAAUAGUUGCAUCGUCACAUGGUAAAAAAACAAAACCUAACACUAAGGAUCACGGAUACACGACUCUAGCCACCAGUGUGACCCUGUUAAAAGCCUCGGAAGUGGAAGAGAUUCUGGAUGGCAACGAUGAGAAGUACAAGGCUGUGUCCAUCAGCACAGAGCCCCCCACCUACCUCAGGGAACAGAAGGCCAAGAGGAACAGCCACUUUGAUGACCAUGACCCAGCUGUGAUC
rnacentral:lncRNA from 1 species